AACGAACGCUGGCGGCAGGCUUAACACAUGCAAGUCGAACGCCCCGCAAGGGGAGUGGCGCACGGGUGAGUAACGCGUGGGAAUAUGCCCUUCGGUUCGGAAUAACACAGGGAAACUUGUGCUAAUACCGGAUACGAUCUACGGAUGAAAGAUUUAUCGCCGAGGGAGUAGCCCGCGUAGGAUUAGCUUGUUGGUGAGGU
rnacentral:rRNA from 1 species